GUAUGUCAGGGGCUGCAGCGCCCCAGAAAUACCCUUUAAAAGCCCCAGACAUAAUUGCUGGCCCUUGAAACUUCAUACCAGGGUUGAUGUGAAAGGAGGAUAUUCCAGCAAUACGCCUGUUUCCAUGGAGUAUGUUGAAGAACAAUGGAGGAGAAGACAAAACUUGGAUGAAGCUACCCCCCGGAAAGAUGGAGAUUUGUGGAAGACAGAUGCAACAACGGGGACAUAAGAGACAAACUGAAAGGACAACCCGGAGUCGUCCAGCCCAGACCUUCGGUAUCAGCAGGGACCAUGUCACAGUUUGAAGAGAUUCAGCCGUGUGUAUGUUUGGCAUGAGAAAAGAGCUACACAAGAAGGAGAAACUUUCUCACCCUCUUUAUAAAUUAUUUCUUGUGAGUAAAGCAACAACGAAAAUUAGGCAAAUUAGAGCUAUUUCUUAACAUUUUUAAAAGCAAGUCAAGAACCUAAGCCCUGUAGUGAAUGAGUACUAUAAUGGGUGAGAUAACCCAUGUCUCUCCGAACACUUCUGAGAUGUUUAGGAAUUUAUUUUCAAUGUGAGAUAAAUUGGGAUCCCCAAGCCUAGGAACUUUUGAAUUGUUAUACUACUGUAUGCUUUCUUUUACAGUGAAGACCAGCACAAAGGAGAGAGGAAACUUGGGGCACAGUGGCUUGGCUGCCUGAUUUACUUCUCUGCAUCUCUAGUAUCCAAGCUGGUAGUCUAGACUCCGGAGAAACGCAACUUCAGAGCCUAAAAGGCCAGUGGUGGGACCUAUUUCAGACCUGCUUUUUGAUGUGAUGCAAGUUGCACCAGAAGCCUCUACUAGCAAUGUGAGAUGCCUGGAUGAGCGGGUUAAGAGGACCCAACUCCUGCUGUUUGUGCACAUGUGCACAGAUAACCUACGGUGGACACGCCAGCCUUGUGGGUAUCUACAGAGUCUCAGCCUGGCUACUUCAACCCAUCCGCUUUCAGACCUUCUGGUCCCAGGAUUUUUGCAGCUGGAUGUGUGUGGUCUUCACCUACCCCAGAGUGAUGGUAAAGGAGACAACGCAGAAGUCAUGAGAGGACUCUGGGAAGGAGAUUUAAGGCUGCUUCCAGAAGAGCCCUUUCUCCUUAGCAUCUGCAGCAUCCUGCUGUCAGGAAAGGCACAAGGAGGAGUCAGGUCAGAGCAUAUGGUCAUUUGACAAUUCUGGAGAAGGGCUUUGCUUGAAUUUGCCAUAAUUUAUGCCAUCCUAGAGCUUCUAAAUUAUGUCUAAUGCAGCUCUAUCUUCUUUGAUAAGGCAUGAAACAUGAGCCAUGGUGACUGAAAACUAGUCUUUCUCACCAACAUGAAGACCUCAACUGUUUGUUCCAUGCAUGAACCAAGGCGACAGCAGCUUUCAGGGUUUUACAGUGCAACUGUGUCACAGCAGCUGGAGGAAGCAUUAAACCAGGUGAGUCAAGCUGGGAUAUCCAGGUUCUACACAGGACUCCUAUGAUCUUAAGCAUUGCUGAUGCUGCUUAGAUUUUCCACAUGACUUUAAGGACAAAUUUCAGCUCCAAAGCAGAGCUUCAUAGUGUGUCGUCAUAGGAAUGCAGCUGAGCUGCAAUGCCAGCUAAAGAUCAGAGUGAUAAGGACCACUUUAAUGCUAUAGAAUAAGUUGUGUCAUAGUAUAAUGGCCUUCAACCAAGGAAAAUGGGAACUAAAGCAGCUUUUCUAGGAGUCUACUUUCAUAUUACCAGGGUCUUUAGGCAGAAUGUGUGCAGGGGGUUGGUGGUCUUGAGAUCUUAGAAAUGGAGGGGACUAUAAACGGUUGUCAUAUGGUUAAUGUGUUCCAUAUAUCUGGAGAAUUCAUUAAGUGAUCUAUUAAUUACUGGUGCCAGUAUAGCAGAAGCAAGAGAGUGAAAAAACUAAUAGUUUGUUGGUACAGUCAACAAAGAGAAGGAAAAUAAGCAUCACCGAAGUUGUAAAUAUGUCACAGAAGUUCAAAAACUUAUGU
rnacentral:lncRNA from 1 species